CCUACGGGAGGCAGCAGUGAGGAAUAUUGGUCAAUGGACGAGAGUCUGAACCAGCCAAGUAGCGUGAAGGAUGACUGCCCUAUGGGUUGUAAACUUCUUUUAUAAAGGAAUAAAACGAGGCACGUGUGCCUGUUUGCAUGUACUUUAUGAAUAAGGAUCGGCUAACUCCGUGCCAGCAGCCGCGGUAAUACGGAGGAUCCGAGCGUUAUCCGGAUUUAUUGGGUUUAAAGGGUGCGCAGGCGGAGGCACAAGUCAGCGGUAAAAUCGUGGGGCUCAACCCCGCCCCGCCGUUGAAACUGUGUCCCUUGAGUGCGCGAGGAGUAUGCGGAAUGCGUGGUGUAGCGGUGAAAUGCAGAGAUAUCACGCAGAACUCCGAUCGCGAAGGCAGCCUACCGGCGCCCAACUGACGCUCAUGCACGAAAGCGUGGGUAUCGAACAGGAUUAGAUACCCUAGUAGUC
rnacentral:rRNA from 1 species